rnacentral:misc_RNA from 1 species
GCUCCGUUGGUGAACCAGCGGAGGGAUCAUUACCGAGUUUACAACUCCCAAACCCCUACGUGAACGUUACCAAACUGUUGCCUCGGCGGGAAAUUCAUGCCCCGGGCGCGUCGCAGCCCCGGACCAAGGCGCCCGCCGGAGGACCAACCAAAACUCUUUUGUAUGUCCCUCGCGGACUUUUAUAAUUCUGAACCAUCUCGGCGCCCCUAGCGGGCGUUUCGAAAAUGAAUCAAAACUUUCAACAACGGAUCUCUUGGUUCUG